UACGGAGGGUGCAAGCGUUAUCCGGAUUCACUGGGUUUAAAGGGUGCGUAGGCGGGCAGGUAAGUCCGUGGUGAAAUCUCUGAGCUUAACUCAGAAACUGCCAUGGAUACUAUUUGUCUUGAAUAUUGUGGAGGUAAGCGGAAUAUGUCAUGUAGCGGUGAAAUGCUUAGAUAUGACAUAGAACACCAAUUGCGAAGGCAGCUUACUACACAGUCAUUGACGCUGAGGCACGAAAGCGUGGGGGAUCAAACAGG
rnacentral:rRNA from 1 species